AACCCUUUUAGUGUAUCGGGUCGAGCUUGCUUUGAGGAACAGACUGGACAAUUUUCACGUUUGAAGGACUGAAGUGGAGAUUUGGUGACUUUGGAGUGGACAAAUAGGAGUAGGACCACCGUCAGACCAACGUUUUAUCGACCGCAAAACAACAGAGCAGAUAGCCAAGGGCGUUUGGACCAGCAGAAAGUAUGCGAACUUCUCUGUUCUUCGCAUUUGGAACUGUCGGCUACUUCAUGUGUGUUUUGCGUUUAAUGUUCGUUACGCGGAUAAACCUUGGAGGAAAACUUAAACUUGAUUGAUUUGUAUUUAUUUUGAAAAGUCACCAUGUUGGGGGAUGAGGGGAUCUAUGCGGCGAAGAAGAGGAAGAAACCCGUCCAGAAAAGUCUGAAGCCUUCUCCAGGGGACGGUGUGGUGAUGACCAACCCGUCUAAACGUCACCGGGACCGUCUGAACUGGGAGCUGGACCGGCUGACUGGCCUUCUGCCCUUCUCCCAAGAGGUAAGGGGUCGGCUGGACAAACUGUCCGUUCUCCGGCUCAGUGUGGGAUACCUCAAGGUCAAGAGCUUCUUCCAUGCGACCCUCCAGAAGAAGAGUGAGUGUCCGGCCGCCCUCGUCAGUGGGAACGGGAGGAACGGAUGGACAUCCACUUCUACAGACGGAGUUAGCCUCUCAGAGGGCAACCUACUGCUGCAGGCCCUGAAUGGUUUUGUCCUGGUGGUGACCACUGAUGGCUCCAUCUUCUACGCCUCUCCAACCAUCCAGGACUACCUGGGCUUCCACCAGUCUGAUGUGGUGCACCAGAGUGUGUACGACCUGAUCCACAUAGAUGACAGAGCCAUGUUCCGGUGUCAGCUUCACGUCGCUCUCAACCCCAACCAGAACGACUCAGAGGCCGGACCAGACGACAGGCAAUCUAGCAGCAGGCCUGAUGGUGAGUCUAUGAGCUACUGCCCCAGCACAUUUCUCUAGACAACAGUUUCUUCCUAGAGAGAAGCUUCUGCUGUCGCUUCCGCUGUCUGCUAGACAACACCUCCGGCUUCCUGGCGUUGAAGUUCCAGGGGCGUCUGAAGUAUGUGUGUGGUCAGGGGAGGCUGGCGGAUGACGGGGCCACGACUCCCGCUCAGCUGGCCCUCCUUGCCAUCGCUGCGCCCCUGCAGCCCCCGGCUGUCAUGGAGAUCAGGACCAAGACUCUCCUCUUCCAGACCAAACACAGACUGGACUUCGCCCCCAUGGGUAUAGACACCAGAGGUAAAGUGGUGCUGGGUUACUCUGAGACAGAGUUGGUCACUAGAGGCUCAGGUUACCAGUUCAUCCAUGCUGCUGCCAUGAUGUACUGCGCAGACAACCACCUCAAAAUGAUAAAAACAGGAGAGACUGGUUUCACCAUUUUUAGGCUGCUGACUAAGGCAGGUGUGUGGGUGUGGGUUCAGGCCAACGCCAGGGUCGUCUUCAAGGCAGGGAGACCCGACUUCAUCGUCGUUCGACAGAAAGCCCUGAUGAACCAGGAGGGCGAGGAGCACCUGCGUCAGCGGAGAAUAGAGCUUCCCUUCAACUUUGCCACUGGGGAGGCUCUGCUGUAUGAGUCCUGUUCCUCUCUGGAUACUGCCGUUAUGCCUCCAGGACCACCCAUCCCCCCAGGCCUCACUCCCCCAGGCUCCAGCCCUGAGGACAAGCACCUGGACCCUGCCUCUCUCCUGGGGUCCCUACUCUGUCAAGACCGCUCUGUCUACACUCAGCCCCAGGACCCUAGCCUGGACCUCCAGGACCUUUCCCCGGACUUAGACCUAGCCUUCCCCCAGGACCAGGACCCAGGCCUGGAGAGAGCCUUCCUGGACAGCCACGCUCUGCUGAGUGUCUCCGGGGAGCUCCAGGUUCCCCAUAGGCCCAGCUUGGUAGACCCCACAGCCCAAACCAUGAUGGACUCUCUGGGGGAGAUCCUGGGGAAGAUGGGGGCGGAGGGCCUGGAGGGGCUGAGGUUGAAGGAGACAGAGCUGAGGGAGUGGGAGAGCACCCUCUUCAGGAUCAACAUGGAACAGCAGGAUGUGACGGGGAAGCUGGAUGAUAUCUUAGCCAAUGAUGUGUUCUCGUACGUGGAGGAGGCUCUGAUGAGGGAGAAUGAUGGUGGAUGUGUGAUAGGCAGCUUGAGACAGGCCACUGAGCCAAUAAACAGACUCCCUGCUCACAACACUGCCAAUCCGAACACACUGGGCAUGUUCCCUCACUCCCAGAGUUCCUUAUUGCCAGGCAACAAGGGCUUCAAUGGCGGGAACGGCUCACACAGUGAGAACCGAUGGCAGAUGGGUGGUCCACACACAGUUGUUAGUGGCAUGGAGCACGGGGUGGGGUGUAGUCCUGGGAUUGUUAGAGAGCCACGCAGCGUUGUAAACACAAACAUACUACCCAAGGCUGCUCACACGUUUGCAGGGCAACGGACUCAAGGAAGUGGCGGCUAUCUCCAUGGCAACCGAACGGUCCCACAACCAUCCCAUAUUAACAACCAACCGGAAUCCUGGACACCCUCCAUCCAAAAUAUUAUCCUUAAUAACCACAGCCCUGUUCCUCUCCCAAACUUCUACAAUAUUCUCCCUGAGGCCUUUGACCAAACCAUGCAGCCCAGCCUGGAGUUAUACCACUCUGGGACUGGAGAUGCAAAAAGGCAGUUCUCAGGGCAGCCCUGUCCGGGUCCUUCAUAUCAGGACCCAAGGCAGUCUUGGCAACAGCCACGGCAAAGUACACAAUGGCAACCUUGGCAGAUACCACAGUGUUUUCCAGCAAAGCCAGUAAAUGGACUCCGUCACACACACCCCAAACACACCACACACAUACCGUCCAAUAACGCAUCCAGAACUCAAACACUCACAUACACACCCUCAGGCAACUGUAUGUUUGAAAAAAGGCCUUCAAAUAUCAGUGGCCUUACACCUGCCCAAAACAGGUCACACGGUCCCAUACCUGCCCCAACUCAGUCCAAUGGACCCAGACCCACUCCCAUUCUUUCCAAUGACUGUAGAAUCAGCUUCUCUACCCAGGCCCCCAAAUUCUUUGUGCCUUACCCUGAAGCUAAUCUCUAAUCCCAAGACCUUCUUACGCCCAAACCUCCAUUCCUAACCCAACCUACCCCACAGCCGCCAUCCCUAACCCCAUCCCUGCCCUAUCCAAAGGGGCUCAGCCAGGGGAGGGCAUGGCAGCUCUCCCUGCCUGGUCUGGGGCUCCAUACCUGGGCAUGAAGCAUCUCCCAGGCCCCUUUCCCAGCCCCCAGCUGGUUCCCCGGAGCUCCAGGGGGGAUGGCAGCUGUAAUAAUCCCAGUGAAGGGAGCUUGACGCUGGGUGAGAGGGGGUUGGAAGGCAGCCUUUUUUCUGGAUGUCCGAUGCCAGGGUUUCCUCCUGAGAACGGAUCUGCACAGUCAUCUUUAUUCUACACAGGUCCCUAGCAGUUCCAAACAGUGAUGCGGAUCCUUUUCUCUUCACUGGUCUGGCUAAUAGAACCACCAACAUCUCCUAGACUCUAGAACUUAGAGGAAUACAACAAACCAUCUCCACCGUGGCAAGACAUGGAAGAAGAAGGAGGGGGAGAUAUGGAACUCAGGAGAUGGCCAUGCUAGAAAGGACAAGAACAUCAGAUAUAUAACAAGACCUGUUGAGAUAAUGCAUGAGCUAUCUGGCAAUGAAUCUCAGUAAGACAAAAAAUAAUGCUGUUCCAAAAAAUGUCCAGUAGCCAAGACAAUAAAUACACAUUCUAUCUAGACACUGUUGCCCUAGAGCACACAGAAAAUUACACCUAACUCGUCCUAAACAUCGACACCACUGGUAACUUCCACAGGGCUGUGAACGAUCUCAGAGACAAGGCAAGAAGGGCCUUCUAUGCCAUCAGAAGGAAAAUAAAACUCAACAUUCCAAUUAGGAUCUGGCUAAAAAUACUUCAACCAGUUACUGUACCCAUUGCCGUCUAUGGUUGUGAGGCCUGGGUUCCACUCACCAAACAAGAAAUCACAAAAUGGGACAAACACCCAAUUGAGACUCUGCAUGCAGAAUUCUGCAAAAAUAUACUUAGUGUACAACACAAAACCCCAAACAAAGCACCCAGAUCAGAAUGAGGACUAUACCUCAGUUUUAAGGUCUCGGCAUAGAGAGAAGCUUCGUAAGGUAGACACAGUGGCAGAAUACCUGACCACCGUAACUGACCCUAAAUUAAGAAAGUUCUUGACUAUGUACAGACUCAGUGAGCAUAGCCUUGCUAUUGAGAAAGGCCGCCAUAGGCAGAAAUGGCUCUGAAGAGAAGACAGGCUAUGUGCACAUUGCCCACAAAAUGAGGUGGAAAUUGAGCUGCACUUCUUAGCCUCCUGCCAAAUGUAUGACCAUAUUAGAGACACAAGGGCGUGGUUAUUGACCAGGGCGUGGUUAUUGACCAUGUUAGCUUGGAGCUGCUUGAGUGUUAUAGCAUUGUUGGUCAAAACCAUGUUUACUAUCUCCCUCUCUUGCUGUUCUGUGAACAUAGGAGGCCUUCCCCCUUGUCGUCCCUGACCCUCAAUCCGAUGUAGAAAAAAAAAACUGUAUACAUGUAUACAUAUAUAUAUAUACAGUAAUUUCACAGGAAAAGGUAACAGCAGUGCUGAUAGUGCAUAGAAUACAGUACUGUAAGCAGUUACUGAAACCGUGCAGAUGUUUUUGAUAUGAUGAUAUUUUUACAAUACCUAUUUUCCAGUCUAAAUGUUCUCAUCACACUUGCCACUGUAUAUCGGCUUAGAUUUGGCUGUACUCCCAGUCCGGCCUCCCUCAGCGUCAGGCCGUGGUUGACAACGUGGUCAACCAGUGUUGCGCGGAUCUCAUUUGUCAGAUUCGGUCCUCUUUGAGCACCUUCUUGUCUUCCUCUUCCUCCCCUUCCUCCUCCUCCUCGUCCUCCUCCUCGUCCUCCUCGUUCUCCUCGUCCUCCUCCUCGUCCUCCUUGUCGUCGUCGUCGUCCUCCUCCUCCUCCUUCUCCUCGUCGUCUUACUCUUUCUCUGACUCUUUCCAUUGUGCUUGAAGACCGAUGAACUCACCUGCUGCUUUUUAUAGUGCUUAUACACCUGAUUGGUGUGUCUACAGUUAAGCAAACGAGUGUUUGCACACCUGAUGACUGUGUUGAACCAAUAGGUUGGACGGUGUGGUAAUCUGACAGUCAGUGCUUUGGUAUUGCAAGGACGUGACUUCAUGAUAGAUGUUUGUGUGUAAUGUAUGUUAAGUGUGUUUAGUGUUUUGCAAAUCACUGUGUGUAGAG